GGAUAACCUGGUAAUUCUAUGGCUAAUACAUGCGCAAAUACUAUACCUUAACGGCAUAGUAGUGUUUAUUAGAUACAGAACCAACACGCUCCAUUUUGGGGUGUAAAAGAUGGUGAUUCAUAGUAACCGAACGGAUCGCAUUAUGAUCAUAUUUUUAUGAUUGGCGAUAGAUCAUUCAAGUUUCUGACCUAUCAGCUUUCGACGGUAGUGUAUUGGACUACCGUGGCAGUGACGGGUAACGGGGAAUUAGGGUUCGAUUCCGGAGAGGGAGCCUGAGAAACGGCUACCACAUCUAAGGAAGGCAGCAGGCGCGCAAAUUACCCAAUCCUGACUCAGGGAGGUAGUGACAAGAAAUAACAACACUGGAAAUUUUAUUUCUAGUGAUUGGAAUGAUGGGAAUUUAAACCCCUUUCAGAGUAACAAUUGGAGGGCAAGUCUGGUGCCAGCAGCCGCGGUAAUUCCAGCUCCAAUAGCGUAUAUUAAAGUUGUUGCAGUUAAAAAGCUCGUAGUUGGAUAUCUGCUGGAAGCAAUCAGUCCGCCCUAUUCAGGGUGUGCACUUGAUGAAUUCUGGCAUCUAUUAUUCCUAAUAUGAUGAUGGCUUUCAGUAGUCAUCAUUAGUGUUGGGAAUAAUACGGUUACUUUGAGAAAAUUAGAGUGUUUGAAGCAGGCUUAUUGCCUUGAAUACUGCAGCAUGGAAUAACAAUAUAGGAUUUCGGUUCUAUUUUGUUGGUUUCUAGGACUGAAAUAAUGGUUAAUAGGGACAGUUGGGGGCAUUCGUAUUUAACUGUCAGAGGUGAAAUUCUUAGAUUUGUUAAAGACGAACUACUGCGAAAGCAUUUGCC
rnacentral:rRNA from 1 species